AUCCAUCUGCUUGUCUCAAGUGAAAUCUAAUUUGGCACUUUUGUGAGAUUUGGCCAUUGUUAAUUAUGCCCUCAAUUAAUGGCAUAAUGUAGGCUCCGAGAGCUUCUGAACUUGAGUCUGCUCUGCCGAGUCAGGGCUUGGCUUGGAAAAAUGUUGUGAGAUGCCAUUCCUGGAGAGGAUGUUUCAGCGGGCACUUCAUUUAGGACAAGUCCUAAUGUGCAUUUGGCUCACAGAAGAGCUAAUGGUUGCACAGACUAUUUAAACAUGACCCCAGAGAUUAUAGGUUGGCAAUGUGUGCUGAGCACAACUAUCUCCUUCUGCAAAAUGAAACUUAAUCACGCACCCAAAAGCAGAGAAACAUCAAGUUCGCCCUCCCGUUAUUAACUGGGAUUUGUUACUUUAAAAAACUGCCUCUUACUUGAUUUUUCUAGUGGGAUUUACAAAGCAAAGUCCUCCUACUCCCCUUGGAAAAGCAGGAAAGCAUAUUAAGAGCGCUGAUAAAAGGUAAACAAACCAGGAGACACAAAGUUUCUUGAUAUGCUCUAAUUGAGCUGGUUUCCUUACUUCUGCUUUGAAAAGGAACAGCCAUGAGGCAUUCUUGAGAGAGCCAAGUGAACUGCUGUUAUCUCAAAAAGGUCUCCUUAAUGUCUCGCUCGUGGGGGCUCCAAGUCUGCUCCGGCCAUUGCCUGGAAGUCUAAGAAAAGAAGUCUACUGGCCUCUGUGAUAAAGCUCCCAUUUUUAGGCCUUGGGAAGGAUGGGGUUGUUGACAGUUCAUUCCUGUGAAAAUUCAGCGCGGGCCCGGUCUCCGGAUGGUAAAUGGAAGGAAUAUAUGGCAGCACUAAUGCAAAAGGAGCUGGGAUGGAUGGCAUUCCGGGUGGAAUCCUGCAUACCUGUGCCCGUGGAGAUGCUCAGCUGCUCCAGAUCCCAUGAAAGCCCCAUUGUUCUUCCUGCCAUAUUGCACACUCCAUGAUUAUAGAGCGUUGGAUGAGCGGUGAGACGUUGCUUGUUGGAAUAAUAACCUAUUCUUAGCUCUGGCAGUGCUAUAUUUAAGAUUUAUAUAUAUUUAAAUG
rnacentral:lncRNA from 1 species